GAAGGAAACCAGGAUGGUAAAGGGCAUCAGAUUUGUCACACAUGGGGAUCGGUUGAAGAAGAUGAAAAUCUUUAGCCUGGAGAAAAGACAUCUCAGUGGAAUCAUGAGAGCCAUUGAAAAUGAGAGGGGAAUUAGACAGGUUUGGUUAGGAACCAGAGACUAGCACUAGGAGCUCUGGGUGGGGAGGAGGGGAAGUUACAGAGGUGAGCUUAAGCUUGAUGUGAGAGGAAAGGAGGAAUCCUAGAAACUAGAAAUAUCCAAAGUGAGGCUAGAGUGACUGAAAAAUGAACACUAUCAUUAUGGAUGACCAUCUCUUUGAUAUGUUGCAAAAGAAUUUCUGUGCAGAUUUGAUGAGUAAUACCAAGAUGUUGGAGAACACGUCUCCUUUCUUGGAGAAGGAAUCACUGAGCAGUGAUAACUGAAACCCCUAGAGACCAAACAUAAUACCUGAACUGCGUUGGAGGUACCUGAAGAAAAAUGUGCAGCUUUUCAAGUAGUUUUAUAAUUGUUUCUCCUGAAGCUCUCCCGAAUCUGACGAAGAUUGCUUCAUUGGCUAUUGACAGCACCUUAAUGUGUAUGAGGAAAAUCCCUCUUGCAGAGGUACGAACAAUCAUUUAAGCUCACAGUACCAAUUGUGGGCCAUUACUACCUGCUGCUGAGUGAGCAUCAAUACAAUUGACCACUAACUGCUAUUUCACACCUGCUGUGUCAGAGCUAAAGACACACCAGAUACUGUCAUGAUACCAUCCACUGCAAGUACUAUGUUCUACCUGAAAGGUUCA